CGAGAGUGUGGUCGCGAACGGAUCGGAAUAGGGACGAACUAUCCUUGGAUUUACGACGUGCAACAAGAUCGAUGUGUAACACCUUAUUGUAAUUUAGUAACACAGUAAACGCAGUCACAAUGUAAGCAUUAUAGGUGAGUUACGAGCUGUUCCGGGAUUAUGGCCGACGCGUUGACUUAGAAUUAUACCGACGUAGUUGGUAAGUGACUGCCAAGAGAGACAGGGUCAGAGACAUAGAAUGAGAGAGAAAGACAAAGAAAGAGAGAUGUAGGAAGGUAGAGAGAAAGAGUACCGGAACGAGAGUUGUAAGUAAUCAUCGCCCUUUAUCUCCUUUUCUUAUUUGCCUUUCCUUUCGUUGUUACCACCGACCGGCGCGGCGCGCGGAUAAGGUACACAGGAGAGCGCAAGUUCUCCCUUUGGGAAUUAUUAGUAAGCUAAAUUUGCCCCGGCGAUUAAGUGCAUUUAAUCAUCGGCAAGGUAAUUUUGUUACUUCCGCCGCGCGCGCGAUCCUCCGCCUCGGAGAUAUUUCCUUCCGUCAAGUCUAACGAGCGAGUGUUUACGCCCUCUUCGGGGGCUCUGCUCCGAUCUGUUUUUACUGAAAGUGAAAAAGAAGGAUCCAGGUGUUGCCUCGUCCUUCGCCGCUCGGCGUUUGUAUACUCGUUUGGAUGUUGGACCAGCCAUAUUUUAAGAUCUUUGCAUUUUCUCAUAUUCCUGUUUCGAAAUUCAAGAGAUGUUAUCCUCCCUCUUUUUUUUUUCAACAAAAGAUAUUCCAACACGAUACAUGUGCGAGAUAUUUAGCAAGGUGAUUUUUAAAUCGCGGAAUUCUUUGCGAAUUUUUCCUCGGUGGAAAUUAGCACAUUUGCGGCGCGUUAAAACAAUGUUAUGUACAUAAGCGAUAUAUUCGUUGAUAUGAAUUUUGCUCUUGAAAGCGGGCGCAUUAAUCUUUCCGUUUGUAUUUCGGAUUCAUUUACGGCAUAUUAUUCGCAAAUUGCAAAACGACGACAGACGCGCGGAGCGAGGUUCGCGAAUCAGAAAUUAAAAUCGUCGAUUUUUCGCGAUUUUUCCAAUUCUAUUUUAUACCAGCCCAGUCACAUCCGGUCCGGCCCGGUCCGGCCCAUGAACGAGUACAAUUAAAAACGAGAAAUCGCCGGAGAUAAUGCAUCGCGCGCGGUUUACGGCCGCGACGAAAAAUCGUUUGUUACUAUACAAAAUCAGUACCUACCACGUACAAACAAGAAUAUAUGCGACAGCAAAAAGAGAGAGAAAGAGAGAGAAAGGUAUUAACCGUGUAUAAAUUACAUCCCCGUGUGGACACGGGGUGAAUACCGAGCGGUUUAGCGCGUGCUAGCGAUAACUAACAAGCGUCGAAAACGGUGGCGCGUUUGUAAAAUGCUUGAUUGUAACUUAUGCGACUUCAUUAUACUGGCCGACGCGCCGUGAUAUGAUUGUGUCGCGCGUGCUGUGUGUUUUUUUUCCCAAUUUUGCAUCGCCGUGUGACGGCCGCGGUGUUGCUCGUUGCUGCAGUUUUUUUUCGCCCCCUCCCCUCCGAAUCAGCCGCCGCGCCCCGGCGCGAUAUCGCGCGAGUCUCGCGGAAAAGCCGAUCAUUUAUUAACAUCUUGCUUUACUGUUACGCGCGGCCGCUUGCAUGCGGUGCGCGCGCACGAUACAUCAAGUGGGGUGUUAAAAAUUAUCCUAUCGGUCGUUUGCGCCGUUUUUGCGAAAUAUAUAUAACAUUCGCGAAAUGCUUCCGCCGCGCGGUUAACGCGCCAUUUAUGCACGAUAUUGAUGGAAUCGCGUGUAUUAAUAUCGCGUUGUUUAUUCAAAACCUGCCCCGCGUGUUAUCAAAGAAAAUAAAUGCAACCGCCGGUGCCGAUGAUAAAAUGAUAAAAACCGCAGAACUUGAUUAAACUACCAAAAAUUCACCACUCAAAAGCGGAGACCUCUACACCUCUGCGGGUAAAUUCGACCGUGACACGCACAAUAUAUUUAUUCGAUUAUUAUUGGAAUUAAUAAUUUUAGCUGUAUUGCUGUAAUCAUAUAUAGGAAAUCAAAUUGUACAUCUAGUUUGUGAUAGAGUCAGGGGUUAAUAUUAGAAUUUUAUUUCACCUUAAGUAUAUUUUAUUUUCAAUCUUCUCUCGCGCAAACACGUAAUGAACAUUUUGCUUCCAUCUUGACUUCCCUCUCCAAUUACUGCUUAAUUAAUGUACAAUUCUCGUGUUGCUCGGGAAGGGACUAAUGUCCUGGAGCAUAAUAAAUGUUCCGUCUGCGUCUAUGUCUCCCUCUCCGCCUAUUAGACAACCCGCCAGCUCAGCUAUACAGGGUGGUCUGAGCUGUAAAUCAUGUUUAACUUUCAGUCGCGUGUUUAAUUUUCAAUAGAAAUAAAAUAUCCUCGAAUUUUUUUCACGUGAUGACGUUUCCUCCUUCUACUAUUUAGAUAUUUUAUUUUAUAAAUUUUCACAGAAAAUGACGUCAAGUUCAUACAGCAAAUCACAACGCCUGGCAUUGAUUAAAAGUGCGAACAAUAAUUUGUGUAAGUGGCAUAAAUCAAAGCUUUUACGUAAAUGCUACAUGCACCUCCGAUUUGUAACCGUAAAUUAAAUUCCCGCGUUACGGAAAUUUCACUCGCCGCGUCGAUUUCAAAAUAAACGACCGAUAUAUAUGUUAAUGCGACGCGGUCGCGUGCGAUUAUCGCCGGCGCCUAAUUCGCAUGAUCGAGUCCGGGGCUUCCGGUGUUUUCGUGUCAUCGGCUGUGUUAUAUUGCGCCAUGCGCUAUCGGGUGACGACGCCAUGGAUAAAUCAAUCGAAUUAUCCACACGCCACACACGAACGUCACGACGAUCGUUACUACCAGUAUCUCCACUCUGCCAUUACGAAGACAAUUUCGUUGAAAAAGAAAGAGAAAUGAAGAGAAAGAAAGAGAAGGAGAGAGAAAAUUAUUAAUUAUUCGGAGCACAUAGCCCUUUGUGCUAUAAAUACUCGUAAUAAUGCCCCUAACGAUUACUAUAUUUUUUCUCAUGUAAAAUAAUAAAUGGUAAAAUAUUAUUGUAACAUAA